rnacentral:rRNA from 1 species
GACGAACGCUGGCGGCGUGCUUAACACAUGCAAGUCGAACGGAAAGGCCCUGCUUUUGUGGGGUGCUCGAGUGGCGAACGGGUGAGUAACACGUGAGUAACCUGCCCUUGACUUUGGGAUAACUUCAGGAAACUGGGGCUAAUACCGGAUAGGAGCUCCUGCUGCAUGGUGGGGGUUGGAAAGUUUCGGCAGUUGGGGAUGGACUCGCGGCUUAUCAGCUUGUUGGUGGGGUAGUGGCUUACCAAGGCUUUGACGGGUAGCCGGCCUGAGAGGGUGACCGGCCACAUUGGGACUGCGAUACGGCCCAGACUCCUACGGGAGGCAGCAGUGGGGAAUAUUGCACAAUGGGCGGAAGCCUGAUGCAGCAACGCCGCGUGCGGGAUGACGGCCUUCGGGUUGUAAACCGCUUUCGCCUGUGACGAAGCGUGAGUGACGGUAAUGGGUAAAGAAGCACCGGCUAACUACGUG